UAAGUGACGAUAGCCUAGGAGAUACACCUGUACCCAUGCCGAACACAGAAGUUAAGCCCUAGAACGCCGGAAGUAGUUGGGGGUUGCCCCCUGUGAGAUAUGGAAGUCGCUUAGC
rnacentral:rRNA from 1 species